rnacentral:rRNA from 1 species
CCUACGGGUGGCAGCAGUGGGGAAUAUUGGGCAAUGGAGGCAACUCUGACCCAGCAACGCCGCGUGAGCGAUGAAGGUCUUCGGAUUGUAAAGCUCUUUAAGCGGGGACGCAGAAAGUGACUGUACCCGCAGAAUAAGCCUCGGCUAACAACGUGCCAGCAGCCGCGGUAAUCCGUAGGAGGCAAGCGUUAUCCGGAAUGACUGGGCGUAAAGGGUGCGUAGGUGGUUUGGCCAGUUGGUAGUGUAAUCCCGGGGCUCAACCUCGGUGCUACUACGAAAACUGUUGUACUUGAGUGCAGGAGAGGUGAAUGGAAUGCCCGGUGUAGCGGUGGAAUGCGUAGAUAUUGGGAAGAACACCAGCGGCGAAGGCGGUUCACUGGACUGUAACUGACACUGAGGCACGAAAGCGUGGGGAGCAAACAGGAUUAGAUACCCGAGUAGUC